rnacentral:rRNA from 1 species
UACGGAGGGCGCAAGCGUUGUUCGGAAUUACUGGGCGUAAAGCGCGUGUAGGCGGUCUGGCAAGUCGGUUGUGAAAUCCCCGGGCUCAACCCGGGAACUGCAUCCGAAACUGCUGGGCUAGAGUUCCGGAGAGGAAGGCAGAAUUCCCAAUGUAGGGGUGAAAUCCGUAGAUAUUGGGAGGAAUACCAGUGGCGAAGGCGGCCUUCUGGACGGUGACUGACGCUGAGACGCGAAAGCGUGGGGAGCAAACAGG